AACUGAGAAGUCUGCACGCCACAACGAAGAUCCCACGGGGCCACAACUAAAGACCCGGCACAGCCUAAAUAAAUAUUUAAAAAAAUAAUAAUUAUUGUGGCAAAGCUCAAGUGAUCAAAACCGUGUGAUCCUGGUACGAAGACAAGCAAACACAUCAAGGAAGAGAAAAGUCCCAAACUGGGCUGCAUAUCCACAAUUUCUGACAACGAUGCCAAAGCAACGCAGUGGGAAGAUCAGUCUUUCCCACACGUGGAGAAACUGGGCGUCCACAGGCAAAACCAGGACACAGACCUGGACCUGUAGCUUGCGUCACACAGAAACCAACCCCAAACGGACCUGAGGUCUGAAUGGAACACUCAAACUAUGAAACUUCUAGGAGAAAAACGUAAGAGAAAGUCUUUGUAGCCUUGAAGUAGGCAGAAAUUUCUUAGAUAUGACACAGAAAACACAAUCGAUAGAACAACAAGAGUACAAACAAGUUUACCAAGAUGUAAAAUAUUUGUUCUUAACAGAGAGACUGUUAAGAGUGUGGAAGACAAGCUAGAGGCUGGGAGGAAACAUCUGCAAAUCACGUCUCACAAAGGACCUGUCCAGUAUGUGUAAGAAAAUCUCAAAACCCGGCAGCAAGGUAAAAAAGAAGCACCCAGUUUAAAAAUGAGCAAAAAUCUGAACAGAUACCUGACCGAAGAGGCUGUGCAGACAGCCAGCAAGCGCCCGAGAAGGUGCCCGGCACCCUCAGCCAGGAGGGAAACUCAAAUUACAGCCACGACGAGAAACCACACCCCCUUGGAUCGGCUGAAAUGAAAAGGACCGACCACGCCGGCCGCGGUGAGGACGUGGGCCCCCAGAACUCUCAGAGGCCGUGAGCAGGAAACGGUGCAGCCACUUCAGAAAACAGUCCGGCAGUUUUAAAUAUUCACCCGCCCUGUGACCCCAGCCAGUCUACUCCUUAGCAUUCACCCAAGAGCAGAGGAAAGACAAUUCCACAUGAAGGCUUGUGUAUGAAUGUUCAUCACAGCUUCACCUGCAGCUGCCUCAACCUGGAAGCAACCCCAGUGCCUAUCCACAGGUAAACAGACAAAUUGUGAUGUACCCACGCAACAGAACAUAACUCAGCACUAAAAAGGGCGACUCUGAAAGAAACACGCUGCAUCCGAGAAGCCAGACGCUAACAGGGCACACACUGCAUGAUCCCACCCUCCUAACGUUCUAGAAAACGCCAACUAAGCUACAGGGACAGAAAGAUCAGUGGCUGCCUUGGCGCUGGGGGACCCUGGGGGGUGGGGUUAGAAGGGGCAGGAGGCAACUGUGGGUGACAGAUGUGCUCAGUGUCUUGACUGUUUUUACGGUUGCUGACAUGAGUCAAAACUUCUCAGACUGUACACUUUACGUGUGCUUUGUUAGAUGUCUUCUACGCCUCCAGACAGCUGCUCGCGGAAAGAGCAGAGAGCAAUGGCCUGAGUGUUUGUUUGCUGAGAGCUCUCUGUGCUUCCCAGGGACAGGACAAGGGCCUGCAUGAGGCGACCUGCAGCCGUGCGGUGGUAACCGGGGGCCCAGAUGCUCUGGGACAGUUGAGAACGGAGUCCAGGAACAGCCCUCUCAGAAGGUGCAGGAAACAUCCCCAGUUCUGAGUGCAACAGCCAGAAAACCCUCGCUCCCCACACCUUUAUCCGUUGCCGAGAGUGACUUGAAAUGAGGUGAAGGUUUCUCAAGGUGUCGUUUAUCAGCCACUGCCAACCAUCUGUCAAAGAGACAAAUUCAUUCAGUUGGUAAAGAACAUUUGUAUGAAAUUAAAAACAACAACACACAGAUCUUCUUCUACCUCUCAAGUCAAAGUAGAUGGUGACCUUUGAGAGGAACCUGGAGGAAACCUAAGUUACAGAACUUCUGAGGCUGCAGACCAAAGCGCCAGGACAGCCCAGUGGUGGAGGUGACCCUGAGGCUUUUCUUACUGCCUCUCUGUGGCCAGGUGCCAUGGAAUGUGGAGAGGCUCCCAGACCCGCACAGGGGCCUGGCCGCCACUCCCAGGGAGAGCUGUGGCAACUGCUGGCCCUCCCCUCGUCCUGCGAGAGAGUGCCCCUCAGGCUUGCACCACCCAUCUGGGAGAGGAACAGCCGAGAAUGCCGGGUGCUGGGCACGGCCGUGACAGGCAGAGCCCCAGUCAGCAGCUCUGAGGAAGGAGCUUGACCCCUUGGAAGAGAAGGGAGAGUCUCUGUUUCUGUGGAGAGAGUGUGGUGGAUGCUCACUAUUUACAAUGGGUUCUUACAGCAACUUCAAAACAAGGAUUCUAACAGGAUGGAACUUUCCCGUCCACCCUAACAGGUUGGUCUUCACUUUUUAAGCUGAAGUAGUUCUGGAAGAAAAGGCCACAAUGUGAGUCACUGGAGAAGAGAGGCACUUACCGAUCACAGCGUCACC